CCCGACUCCGCCCCGGCCCCGUCCUCUCCCCCCGCCGGCGGCUGCGGCUCCUCCCCGCCGUGAUGCGCUCGGGAGGCGCCUCCGCAGCCGCUCCGCGGAGCCGCGCCGGGGCCGAGCCGGGCCGGGCCGGGCAGCGCAGGCACGGUUGAAGCCCCCCGGAGCGGCGCUGUCGGGAGGUGAUGGGUGGCCCAGGAGGGGUGCGGAGACCUGGAGGCAGCGGCUUCGGUUGUGUUCGCCGAUAUCCAUC